rnacentral:piRNA from 1 species
UGAAUGCACACAUCUAUAUGGAUC